GGUUAAGCGACUAAGCGUACACGGUGGAUGCCCUGGCAGUCAGAGGCGAUGAAGGGCGUGCUAAUCUGCGAUAAGCGCCGGUAAGGUGAUAUGAACCGUUAUAACCGGCGAUACCCGAAUGGGGAAACCCAGUGUGACUCGUCACACUAUCAUUAACUGAAUCCAUAGGUUAAUGAGGCGAACCGGGGGAACUGAAACAUCUAAGUACCCCGAGGAAAAGAAAUCAACCGAGAUUCCCCCAGUAGCGGCGAGCGAACGGGGAGGAGCCCAGAGCCUGAAUCAGCAUGUGUGUUAGUGGAAGCGUCUGGAAAGGCGCGCGAUACAGGGUGACAGCCCCGUACACAAAAGCGCAUGUGCUGUGAGCUCGAUGAGUAGGGCGGGACACGUGGUAUCCUGUCUGAAUAUGGGGGGACCAUCCUCCAAGGCUAAAUACUCCUGACUGACCGAUAGUGAACCAGUACCGUGAGGGAAAGGCGAAAAGAACCCCGGCGAGGGGAGUGAAAAAGAACCUGAAACCGUGUACGUACAAGCAGUGGGAGCACCCUUUGGGUGUGACUGCGUACCUUUUGUAUAAUGGGUCAGCGACUUAUAUUCUGUAGCAAGGUUAACCGAAUAGGGGAGCCGGAGGGAAACCGAGUCUUAACCGGGCGUUAAGUUGCAGGGUAUAGACCCGAAACCCGGUGAUCUAGCCAUGGGCAGGUUGAAGGUUGGGUAACACUAACUGGAGGACCGAACCGACUAAUGUUGAAAAAUUAGCGGAUGACCUGUGGCUGGGGGUGAAAGGCCAAUCAAACCGGGAGAUAGCUGGUUCUCCCCGAAAGCUAUUUAGGUAGCGCCUCGUGAAUUCAUCUCCGGGGGUAGAGCACUGUUUCGGCUAGGGGGCCAUCCCGGCUUACCAACCCGAUGCAAACUGCGAAUACCGGAGAAUGUUAUCACGGGAGACACACGGCGGGUGCUAACGUCCGUCGUGAAGAGGGAAACAACCCAGACCGCCAGCUAAGGUCCCAAAGUCAUGGUUAAGUGGGAAACGAUGUGGGAAGGCCCAGACAGCCAGGAUGUUGGCUUAGAAGCAGCCAUCAUUUAAAGAAAGCGUAAUAGCUCACUGGUCGAGUCGGCCUGCGCGGAAGAUGUAACGGGGCUAAACCAUGCACCGAAGCUGCGGCAGCGACACUGUGUGUUGUUGGGUAGGGGAGCGUUCUGUAAGCCUGCGAAGGUGGCCUGUGAGGGUUGCUGGAGGUAUCAGAAGUGCGAAUGCUGACAUAAGUAACGAUAAAGCGGGUGAAAAGCCCGCUCGCCGGAAGACCAAGGGUUCCUGUCCAACGUUAAUCGGGGCAGGGUGAGUCGACCCCUAAGGCGAGGCCGAAAGGCGUAGUCGAUGGGAAACGGGUUAAUAUUCCCGUACUUGGUGUUACUGCGAAGGGGGGACGGAGAAGGCUAUGUUGGCCGGGCGACGGUUGUCCCGGUUUAAGCGUGUAGGUGUGUGUUCCAGGUAAAUCCGGUUCACUUUAACACUGAGGCGUGACGACGAGGCACUACGGUGCUGAAGCAACAAAUGCCCUGCUUCCAGGAAAAGCCUCUAAGCAUCAGGUAACAUCAAAUCGUACCCCAAACCGACACAGGUGGUCAGGUAGAGAAUACCAAGGCGCUUGAGAGAACUCGGGUGAAGGAACUAGGCAAAAUGGUGCCGUAACUUCGGGAGAAGGCACGCUGACACGUAGGUGAAGUGAUUUACUCAUGGAGCUGAAGUCAGUCGAAGAUACCAGCUGGCUGCAACUGUUUAUUAAAAACACAGCACUGUGCAAACACGAAAGUGGACGUAUACGGUGUGACGCCUGCCCGGUGCCGGAAGGUUAAUUGAUGGGGUCAGCGCAAGCGAAGCUCCUGAUCGAAGCCCCGGUAAACGGCGGCCGUAACUAUAACGGUCCUAAGGUAGCGAAAUUCCUUGUCGGGUAAGUUCCGACCUGCACGAAUGGCGUAAUGAUGGCCAGGCUGUCUCCACCCGAGACUCAGUGAAAUUGAACUCGCUGUGAAGAUGCAGUGUACCCGCGGCAAGACGGAAAGACCCCGUGAACCUUUACUAUAGCUUGACACUGAACAUUGAGCCUUGAUGUGUAGGAUAGGUGGGAGGCUUUGAAGUGUGGACGCCAGUCUGCAUGGAGCCGACCUUGAAAUACCACCCUUUAAUGUUUGAUGUUCUAACGUGGACCCGUUACCCGGGUUGCGGACAGUGUCUGGUGGGUAGUUUGACUGGGGCGGUCUCCUCCUAAAGAGUAACGGAGGAGCACGAAGGUUGGCUAAUCCUGGUCGGACAUCAGGAGGUUAGUGCAAUGGCAUAAGCCAGCUUGACUGCGAGCGUGACGGCGCGAGCAGGUGCGAAAGCAGGUCAUAGUGAUCCGGUGGUUCUGAAUGGAAGGGCCAUCGCUCAACGGAUAAAAGGUACUCCGGGGAUAACAGGCUGAUACCGCCCAAGAGUUCAUAUCGACGGCGGUGUUUGGCACCUCGAUGUCGGCUCAUCACAUCCUGGGGCUGAAGUAGGUCCCAAGGGUAUGGCUGUUCGCCAUUUAAAGUGGUACGCGAGCUGGGUUUAGAACGUCGUGAGACAGUUCGGUCCCUAUCUGCCGUGGGCGCUGGAGAACUGAGGGGGGCUGCUCCUAGUACGAGAGGACCGGAGUGGACGCAUCACUGGUGUUCGGGUUGUCAUGCCAAUGGCACUGCCCGGUAGCUAAAUGCGGAAGAGAUAAGUGCUGAAAGCAUCUAAGCACGAAACUUGCCCCGAGAUGAGUUCUCCCUGAGACUUAGAGUCUCCUGAAGGAACGUUGAAGACGACGACGUUGAUAGGCCGGGUGUGUAAGCGCAGCGAUGCGUUGAGCUAACCGGUACUAAUGAACCGUGAGGCUUAACCUUACAACGCCGAAG
rnacentral:rRNA from 1 species